rnacentral:rRNA from 1 species
AUGGUCCGGAACUUCUGGUGGGGUGCAUCGGAAGGGAAUAGGAAGACACAUUGGCUGGCUUGGCCAAAGAUCUUGGCGCACAAAUCACAGGGCGGGCUGGGCUUCCGUGAUUUUCGCGCCUUCAACCAGGCCCUCCUUGCCCGACAGGCGUGGCGCUUACUAAUAAAUCCUCACAGCUUAUGUGCGCAGGUGCUCAAGGCAAGGUACUACCCUGAAGGCCGCCUAGAGGAUACAGUCUUCUCCGGCAACGCCUCCCCUACGUGGCAGGCCAUUCAGUAUGGCCUU